UGACUGGUUACAGCACCUACUUUUGAGUUGUUUUUUCCUUGACAGUAAUGUAGAAACGUAGAGAUACUAUUUGCGGACACUUUUUUUUUUAGCAGAUGAUGUAACAUAUCACACAGAUUUUUAAGUCCUCCAGAUUUAAUGCCUUCACUUGCUAUGCAAAUUCGCACAGUAACAGGCAUGGGGAAGGAAUACACUCUACCCUUUUUGUGAAUUGAGCAGUCCUGUUAGGUUUCGCUAACAUUUGCUGAGAACUUUUAUAAGACAGAUGAGGCUACGGUGCUAGCAAAGAACAGAACUUUAAUAUUCUGAAAAGAAGGAAAGAAAAGAAGAACAAUUUUCGAAUCACUCCUCCAACCACGGAAAUGAUUUUAAUUACCAAUUCAUCUGUUGGCAGACUCUUCUGGCAGAUGUACCUGCAACUUGGAAAGCUAACAAAUGAACUGAUUCCUUACUCCAGAGUUGACACUGAUAGUGCUUGCUGAAUUUGCUCUCAGAAAAGAAUCCUGGGCAACAAUACAUCUGGCACUCUGCUCGAGGAAUUUGUCAUGUCGUUGACAUGUUCAGCCUCCAUUGUCCACACCACCCCGACAGCAGGUCCUUUCUAUUUCAAAGAAAUUGCAGUCUGAAUUAAUAUAAUUAGAAUGUAACUGCUAUUCACUGCACAAACUCCUCAUUUCCAGGAGUACAGAUCUGAUAACGUGUCUGUGCGCAAAAUCUUCCCAAUGAUGGCUGGAGGGGAGCACGCCGAUAAUACCACGACAGAAGAGACACCAUUUCAUCUGCCUUUUUAAGCGCCAACUAUGGGAAUCUAGGAGGAGAAGAAAACUGUGCUAUCUUUGGCAUGUCUAAAUAGAAAUAUCCUUCAAAUUUACCAGCCUAUAUAGAUUUUCAUAAAAUAUAUAGAGUGUCUGAAGUAAGAAAAAAAAUGAAAUGGGAAAGAUUGCCUAUCUUCCAAAAGACCGCUAUAUGAGGUAGAGUGGAUAAUUCAUGGAUAGACUUACAGAAUGAAAAGGUGGUUGAUGACUUCAUUUAUUCUUUACAGCUUCACUGUAAAGAGCCCAUGUCACUAACUGAGCAAUUAUCACCAAGUAAACAACUAGAUUCUUGAAUUCCAUUGUUUGUUGUUAUCUUACUAUAAACACUCGACAUGGUGGAAGCCUACAUCAGCAUCUUUUUUUUUUUAAAUAAGAUUAAUUUUUAUUCUCUUAAAUAUGUUGGCAUUCUUACCUUGAAGGACUCAUUUUAGGGGAAAAGUGACCUGACAUACUCAUGUGUCGGCUGGUGCUCAUGGUCUCUCCUCUGAAGAAUAUAAAGUGUAUCCUUGUGCAAAUUUGUGUUCCUCCAAAAUGUUAGUCUCCUUACCCCCAAUGUUACAGUAUUUGGAGGCAGAGUCUUUGGGAGGUGAUUCGUUUAGAGGAGAUCAUGAGGUUGAGGUCCCAUGAUGGGAUUAGUGUCUGCAUAAGAAGGAGACAUGCAGAGCAUAUUCGAUCUUUCUCUCCUCCAUGUAAGGACACAGCAGGAAGCCUGCCAUCUGCAAGCCAGGAAGAGAGCACUUACCAAGAACCGAAGGAACCAGCACCUUGAUCUUGGGCUUCUUAGCCUCU